GGACCCGCACAAGUAGUGGAGCAUGUGGUUUAAUUCGAAGAUACGCGCAGAACCUUACCAACACUUGACAUGUUCGUCGCGACUUUAAGAGAUUAAAGUUUUCGGUUCGGCCGGACGAAACACAGGUGCUGCAUGGCUGUCGUCAGCUCGUGUCGUGAGAUGUUGGUUAAGUCCCGCAACGAGCGCAACCCUCACUUUUAGUUGCCAUCAUUUAGUUGGGCACUCUGAAAGAACUGCCAGUGAUAAGCUGGAGGAAGGUGGGGAUGACGUCAAGUCCUCAUGGCCCUUACGUGUUGGGCUACACACGUGCUACAAUGGCGCAUACAGAGGGCAGCCAACUUGCGAAAGUGAGCGAA
rnacentral:rRNA from 1 species